ensembl:lncRNA
GAUUUAUGCCCAGUUGGACCUAGCUGACUGGUACAGUCAUAGAUCUUUCUCUUUGAGUAUCUUACAUGCUGCAUAGAAGGUAAAAUAGAAGUGGAAUAAAUGCUGGCUGGACACCUAGCAUCACAUUCAAAACCACAAAUUCAUCUUUCUAAAGCAACUUAUCUUGUUUAGGCUAGUCUCGAACAACUCAUGCCUACUUUCCAUCCCAUUUAUGAGAUCUCAGGAUGUAUUGUUUGCAUUCUGUUUACAAUUUAGCAUUUGACAACAAGUUGUGGGGAGGAAGGAAUCAUCUGUAUAAGGAAUUUAAAGAUUAGGUAUCUUCCAAAGUCUAUUCCAGCCUUUGAUAUUUUGAUGAAAUUCAUUCAUCUUUAACAGUAUAAAUCAACAGAUUAAAUUAAAGCACUGAUCUAUUUCCUAGUUAUUGUCAAUUUCUGAAAGACCACAGUGUAUCUUUUCUUUGCUACUUUAAUUUCGAAGUCUUCUGUUUUCAAUAACCAGGUCUAUUGAUUCAUCAAUGCUUGGCAAGUCAAAGUGAGGUAAGUUUCAUGUAGCAAUACAGAAUAAUCCGAUCAUGUUUCUUACUCAGUUCAAAUCAUGUAACUCUUGGUAUCUACAGUAUUGGUAGAUAUGCCUGAAUGAGUAAUGUGCCAGGGGAGAAACAGGACAGGCAAUUGAACUCAGCCUAAAUAUGGCACUUUCAUUUGGUCAGAUGCAACCCUGUAGACUCCACAGGCUGUACUUAACUGACUCAGCCACCCAACCCUGUGAUGGGAACUUAGGCAGCUAGGUCAGACUGCAGAUCACCACACCGGAAAUGCUGAAAAUUAAACAAUGUGAGUUCCACGCUCAGUGUCCCCCCCCCCCCCCAAAAAAAAAAAAAAAAAAAAAAGAGUCCCGUUCAUUCUGUAACUGAAACUUCAGGUGGGCUCCCAGAGGCCCAGGACCCACGCAUGGCAGGAGGGCCAUGAACAGGAGGCGACUGCUGAGCCAAAGCUGCUACCUCCUCUUUAACACAGUGUACCUCAGCCUUAGCAGCUGACUGGAGUCUGAAAGCAGCAGCAGAAGGUCCUAACUCCUCCAGUGACGGAAUAAUCUUCUCUCAGAGGACACCUCCAAUUGCAUCUCCCCAAAUCGUGGCAGGAAUCCAGCUGGGCAAAAGCCAUUUCCUCAGAGCUGAACUGAGGGUGCUUGAUGGUGGACAGUUCCAUGCAUGUGGAGUGGCACAAAACUGCACUUGCCAGUCAUCAGCACAUACAUUUCUGUUUGUAUCCAAGAAGACACAACAGUACAUUUUCCCUGAAGACCUGAGUUAGUUCAUUCCAGGCCAGCAUAAAUAAUGUAUUUUUCUACACAAUUAAGUUAAUUUUGCUUAUUAUUCAGAGCAAGAGCUGGGUGUGCUCUACAAGUGACUCAUGUACAAGCCCUUGACUGAACAAUCUGAAGGAGGGUGUAUGUAUUUAUGCAGAGGGACUAUAAAAAUGGGGAUAAGUAUAACAUGAUAGUAUGCACAGCCUUUGUUUGCAAUACAUUUUACACUGAUGGAUUUCAAAUAAACGAGCUAUCGCUUCACCA